rnacentral:rRNA from 1 species
AUUGAACGCUGGCGGCAGGCCUAACACAUGCAAGUCGAGCGGCAGCGGGAAAGUAGCUUGCUACUUUUGCCGGCGAGCGGCGGACGGGUGAGUAAUGCCUGGGAAAUUGCCCAGUCGAGGGGGAUAACAGUUGGAAACGACUGCUAAUACCGCAUACGCCCUACGGGGGAAAGCAGGGGACCUUCGGGCCUUGCGAUUGGAUAUGACCAGGUGGGAUUAGCUAGUUGGUGAGGUAAUGGCUCACCAAGGCGACGAUCCCUAGCUGGUUUGAGAGGAUGAUCAGCCACACUGGAACUGAGACACGGUCCAGACUCCUACGGGAGGCAGCAGUGGGGAAUAUUGCACAAUGGGGGAAACACUGAUGCAGCCAUGCCGCGUGUGUGAAGAAGGCCUUCGGGUUGUAAAGCACUUUCAGCGAGGAGGAAAGGUUGGUGCCUAAUACGUAUCAACUGUGACGUUACUCGCAGAAGAAGCACCGGCUAACUCCGUGCCAGCCGCCGCCGUAACAC